rnacentral:snRNA from 1 species
CACUGAGGGCUACCCAGUGUUCUGAACACAAGAAAAGAGAUUAGUAUAGGAUGAUAUGCAAAUUCAUGUAGUGUUCCACAUUAAA